rnacentral:sRNA from 1 species
AGGAGGAGCCAGCUUUGACGGCGGAAGCCGUCAACUCUAAUGCUGGCGACGACCUGCCGCCGAAGCGGAGCUGAGGGGGCGCUACCAUUG